CUCAAGAGAUCUGCCUGCCUUGGCCUCCAAAAGUGUUGAGAUUACAGCUGUGAGCCACUGCACUUGGUCGAAAUCUUCUUAAUAUAACAAUUCAGCAGUAGACGACAAAACUGGGAAAGACCAUACUAACAAUUGGGCAACUAUGCUUACCCUGCUCCUCAAUAACAUCCCAAAUCAUCCUUUGCACAUUCCCUCCCAAGUUUUUCUUUGCUGAUACAUAAGGUUUCAGUCUGCUCUAGGACCAGCAAUGUGAUUUGGUGCAGCAAUGAACUUUCUAUAAGAAAGCCAGGUACCAUAAAAACAGCUUUUCCUCCACAGGCAUAGUAGUACUUUUUCCUUUCAUUUCCUAAACCAAACUGUCACUAAUCUAGAUAAUUUCAUCCCAGCUGAUAAAAUUUUUUGUUAACAUCAUUAAUUCCAUCUUCUGAGAAAAUUUGCUCCUAAGACUAAAGUCAUCACCCAGUUUCUUGUUAUCUGCUUAGAACCACCCACGAGAGCAGAAGGGUAUACAAAUGCAAACACUGGAGAUUUCUGAGUUCCUGAUACUCUGUCACCAAUUGUGAGAUGGAUGCAAUGAAGCAGCACUUUCCCCCUGGGGUGCAGCAGGAGCAGGACUUUCCUCUGGGGUGCAACAGGCCUGGGAUUCUACAGACCAGGCACCAGGACACCAGAGGCCACCAAUCCUGAGCCCAGGUUCCCACCCACCUCCCUUACAAUCUGAUUUGGACCGCCCAUGAGGCCAGAAGAGUAUAAAAACGAGAUGUUGACUUCCGAGUCCCAGAUACCCGUUGUCAGCUGCUGAAAGAAGACCGCAAUGGAGCUACUGUCUCCCCUCCGAGUUUGGUAGGCCUGGGAUUCCGCAAAGAAGGCAGCGGGGCCAGAUACCUCCAGCCCCCAGCUCAGUACAUUCGGUGUCCUGGAUGCUCCCUUCUUGUCCCCUUACCAUUGCGAGCCCUCCUGGGACGGCCUACAGUUCCACUGGGACCUACUUUCGCUUCCCGCGUGCUUCUUCGCUGAAACUGCCGGCGAAAAGGUGUCUUUCCAAGCCUCAGAGCACCUUGAGACGUGCAGAGCACCUUGAGACCCUGAGGCGCAGGAUCGCCUGCUCUGGAUUCCGAGCCCGAAUCCCAGGAGGAGCCAUAGGAGCCCUCAGGAGACCAAGAGGCUGCACAGGGUCCCAACGGACUCCCGCCCCCGCAGUCUCCCUCGCAACUCGGCCCUAGCUCAGAGGACAUACCACUGGAGCCGGAGACGUCCGUCCGAGGAGGCCUUUCAGCGUGUCAGCCUACUAGUGUUCCCCGAAGCCACCAACCAAAGUUCCAAGAAUGCUGGCUACAGAUUGCAUGUGCUGGGGGCAGACGCCCUAAGACUGGGUACACCACCUGCUUUUGGAGUCCUGAGCCCUGAGACUUCCUCUGAGACCUCCCAUUGGAUGAUCCUCUUGUUAAAAAAAAAAAAAAAAAAAAG